GAACGCUGGCGGCAUGCCUUACACAUGCAAGUCCGGACGGCAGCACGGGAGCAAUCCUGGUGGCGAGUGGCGAACGGGUGAGUAAUAUAUUGGAACGUGCCCAGUCGUGGGGGAUAACGUAGCGAAAGCUACGCUAAUACCGCAUACUAUCUAUGGAUGAAAGCGGGGGGAUCGCAAGACCUCGCGCGAUUGGAGCGGCCGAUAUCAGAUUAGGUAGUUGGUGAGGUAAAGGCUCACCAAGCCGACGAUCUGUAGCUGGUCUGAGAGGACGACCAGCCACACUGGGACUGAGACACGGCCCAGACUCCUACGGGAGGCAGCAGUGGGGAAUUUUGGACAAUGGGCGAAAGCCUGAUCCAGCAAUGCCGCGUGCAGGAAGAAGGCCUUCGGGUUGUAAACUGCUUUUGUACGGAACGAAAAGGUCUGCCCUAAUACGGCGGGCCCAUGACGGUACCGUAAGAAUAAGCACCGGCUAACUACGUG
rnacentral:rRNA from 1 species